rnacentral:lncRNA from 1 species
GAAUAUAACCUCCUUGGUUUACCUCCUCUGGCAUUUGCUACAGGUGGAGUUGAACCCAGGCCACCCCGAGGAAGCUUUGCAGUGAGAGCCAGAGGUGUUACCUCUACUCCAGACCAGCAGCUCCUAUCAGUGAGACGAAGGAGUACUUAGUUCGCGUGGCGCGCUUAGCGGUUCAUGACGUCAUGGGAGAGGGUUCGCCACUUGUAUAUAAAAGGAUGCGCGCAUUGGCUUGUCUACAUUACACGUUGCAAAGUGGAUCCAAGAGCAUCUAGCUCGGCGACGCCUGCGAAGCCACAAGGUCGACCGCGACGCGAAAGUAUGCCUCUGAAGAAGAAGCACAGGCCCAGCCCAAUGUAGCCAGGUGUGCAAAGCGGCAAGUAGAUGUUAAUUUUUGUGAAAGCGAGGCCGAAGCUAAACGAAAGCGGCAAGAAGAUGUCGAUCUCCGUAGAUGCAAUGUCGAAGCUAAACUGCAGAAGCGGCAAGAAGACGCCGAUCUCCAUAAACGCGAGGCUGAAGCUAAACGGCAGAAGCAACAGGAAGACUGAAUACAUCCAUAGGCAUGCCGAGACUACAUGAGGGACUACAUUAGGAAACGAAAGUGAAUUAUAAUAGGUUGCCAA